rnacentral:lncRNA from 1 species
UCAGAAAUCGACAAACGCCGGUGACGGUGGUGAGAUUCCGGUAAACAGCCUGGGUCUUUUCUUCCUCUUUCUAAAUCUUCAAGUAUUUUCAUUUUAAUUUGUUUUCUUAUUGAUGCAUCUUAGUUUAGUUUGUUAUUCGCUCUCAGAAAUCGACAAACGCCGGUGACGGUGGUGAGAUUCCGGUAAACAGCCUGGGUCUUUUCUUCCUCUUUCUAAAUCUUCAAGUAUUUUCAUUUUAAUUUGUUUUCUUAUUGAUGCAUCUUAGUUUAGUUUGUUAUUCGCUCUCAGAAAUCGACAAACGCCGGUGACGGUGGUGAGAUUCCGGUAAACAGCCUGGGUCUUUUCUUCCUCUUUCUAAAUCUUCAAGUAUUUUCAUUUUAAUUUGUUUUCUUAUUGAUGCAUCUUAGUGGUUAUUCAAAUUUACAAAACACAUAGUUAGUUCAAAUUUUCUUGAUUUGAC